AGUGCAACCAGAGUCACACCCAUGGAUGAAGUCAAUGAAGUUGAUCCAGCUCCAUAGAAAUAUACCAAGUCUCUAACAUUCCAAGAGAGUUGGAAAGGAGGCCUGGACUACAGAAAAGGGAGGAUUUCCAAAGUCAGUCAAAAGCCUGAAAGAAUAAGACUUCCUGGUUGAUAUAGGUCAUCAUUUGAGGGGCCUCCAAGACGGCCAUCAAACCUGUUUUUCACCACAUUUUACAGGUAAAACCCACAUCCAAACCUCCAAUGCAACAUGACCAACAUUAAGACUAUU
rnacentral:lncRNA from 1 species